GACGGAGGAUGCAAGCGUUAUCCGGAAUGAUUGGGCGUAAAGCGUCCGCAGGUGGCAGUUCAAGUCUGCUGUCAAAGACCGGGGCUUAACUUCGGAAAGGCAGUGGAAACUGAACAGCUAGAGUAUGGUAGGGGCAGAGGGAAUUCCUGGUGUAGCGGUGAAAUGCGUAGAGAUCAGGAAGAACAUCGGUGGCGAAGGCGGCACGCUGGACCCCCACUGACGCUGAGGCGCGAAAGCCAGGGGAGCGAACGGG
rnacentral:rRNA from 1 species